rnacentral:rRNA from 1 species
CAGUUUAUACCGUAGCUUGCUACACCAUAGACUGUGAGUUGCGAACGGGUGAGUAACGCGUAGGUAACCUACCUAUUAGAGGGGGAUAACUAUUGGAAACGAUAGCUAAUACCGCAUAACAGUAUGUAACACAUGUUAGAUGCUUGAAAGAUGCAAUUGCAUCGCUAGUAGAUGGACCUGCGUUGUAUUAGCUAGUAGGUAGGGUAAUGGCCUACCUAGGCAACGAUACAUAGCCGACCUGAGAGGGUGAUCGGCCACACUGGGACUGAGACACGGCCCAGACUCCUACGGGAGGCGGCAGUAGGGAAUCUUCGGCAAUGGGGGGAAUCCUGACCGAGCAACGCCGCGUGAGUGAAGAAGGUUUUCGGAUCGUAAAGCUCUGUUGUUAAGGAAGAACGAGUGUGAGAAUGGAAAGUUCAUGCUGUGACGGUACUUAACCAGAAAGGGACGGCUAACUACGUGCCAGCAGCCGCGGUAAUACGUAGGUCCCGAGCGUUGUCCGGAUUUAUUGGGCGUAAAGCGAGCGCAGGCGGUUAGAAAAGUCUGAAGUGAAAGGCAGUGGCUCAACCAUUGUAGGCUUUGGAAACUGUUUAACUUGAGUGCAGAAGGGGAGAGUGGAAUUCCAUGUGUAGCGGUGAAAUGCGUAGAUAUAUGGAGGAACACCGGUGGCGAAAGCGGCUCUCUGGUCUGUAACUGACGCUGAGGCUCGAAAGCGUGGGGAGCGAACAGGAUUAGAUACCCUGGUAGUCCACGCCGUAAACGAUGAGUGCUAGGUGUUAGGUCCUUUCCGGGACUUAGUGCCGCAGCUAACGCAUUAAGC